UAUACAUGCAAGUCGAACGAAGUAGCAAUACUUAGUGGCAGACGGGUGAGUAACAUGUAGGUAUCUUCCCUUUGGUGAGGAAUAACACGAGGAAACUUGUGCUAAUACCUCAUAAGUCUUUACGGAGAAAGCUUUAUGCGCCGAAGGAUGAGCCUGCACUUGAUUAGUUUGUUGGUGGGGUAAUGGCCUACCAAGACUUUGAUCUAUAGCUGAUCUGAGAGGAUGAUCAGCCACAUUGGGACUGAGACACGGCCCAAACUCCUACGGGAGGCAGCAGUAGGGAAUAUUGCACAAUGGAGGAAACUCUGAUGCAGCGAUGCCGCGUGAGUGAAGAAGGCCCUUGGGUUGUAAAGCUCUUUCGUCGGGGAAGAAAAUGACUGUACCCGAAUAAGAAGGUCCGGCUAACUUCGUGCCAGCAGCCGCGGUAAUACGAAGGGACCUAGCGUAGUUCGGAAUUACUGGGCUUAAAGAGUUCGUAGGUGGUUAAAAAAGUUGGUGGUGAAAUCCCAGAGCUUAACUCUGGAACUGCCAUCAAAACUUUUUAGCUAGAGUAUGAUAGAGGAAAGCAGAAUUUCUAGUGUAGAGGUGAAAUUCGUAGAUAUUAGAAAGAAUACCAAUUGCGAAGGCAGCUUUCUGGAUCAUUACUGACGCUGAGGAACGAAAGCAUGGGUAGCGAAGAGGAUUAGAUACCCUCGUAGUCCAUGCCGUAAACGAUGUGUGUUAGACGUUGGAAAUUUAUUUUCAGUGUCGCAGCGAAAGCAUUAAACACACCGCCUGGGGAGUACGAC
rnacentral:rRNA from 1 species